UACGGAGGGUGCAAGCGUUAUCCGGAUUCACUGGGGUUAAAGGGUGCGUAGGUGGAUUAGUAAGUCAGUGGUGAAAUCUCCGGGCUUAACCCGGAAACUGCCAUUGAUACUAUUAGUCUUGAAUACCGUGGAGGUCAGCGGAAUAUGUCAUGUAGCGGUGAAAUGCUUAGAUAUGACAUAGAACACCAAUUGCGAAGGCAGCUGGCUACACGAAUAUUGACACUGAUGCACGAAAGCGUGGGGAUCAAACAGG
rnacentral:rRNA from 1 species